GACGAACGCUGGCGGCGUGCCUAACACAUGCAAGUCGAGCGAGAUCCAACCGGUGCUUGCACCGGUGAAGAUCUAGCGGCGAACGGGUGAGUAACACGUGAGAAACCUGCCCCAGACUCUGGGAUAACUCGGGGAAACUCGAGCUAAUACCGGAUACCCUCAGAGGAUCGCAUGGUCUUUUGAGGAAAGUUUUUCGGUUUGGGAGGGUCUCGCGGCCUAUCAGCUAGUUGGCGGGGUAACGGCCCACCAAGGCAUCGACGGGUAGCGGGUCUGAGAGGGCGAUCGGCCACACUGGGACUGAGACACGGCCCAGACUCCUACGGGAGGCAGCAGUGGGGAAUCUUGCGAAAUGGGCGAAAGCCUGACGCAGCAACGCCGCGUGCGGGAUGAAGGCCUUCGGGUUGUAAACCGCUUUCAGUAGGGAAGAAAUUGACGGUACCUACAGAAGAAGCCCCGGCCAACUACGUGCCAGCAGCAGCCGCAG
rnacentral:rRNA from 1 species